rnacentral:rRNA from 1 species
UACGGGGGGGGCAAGCGUUGUUCGGAAUUACUGGGCGUAAAGGGCUCGUAGGUGGCCAACUAAGUCGGACGUGAAAUCCCUCAGCUUAACUGGGGAACUGCGUCCGAUACUGGAUGGCUUGAGUUUGGGAGAGGGAUGCGGAAUUCCAGGUGUAGCGGUGAAAUGCGUAGAUAUUGGGAGGAACACCAGAGGCGAAGGCGGCGCACUGGACGGUAACUGACACUCAACUGCGAAAGCGUGGGGAGCAAACAGG